UUAAUUGAAACCAAAUAUGAGGUAUACCAUUGUUAAUGGUACCAUUGGCCCCCCCCCAAUUAAG
rnacentral:tRNA from 1 species